UUUUGUAUUUAUUUAAAAGAUCUGACCUGCCCACUGAAUUAGGUUUGAAGGGCCGCAGUAUUUUGACUGUGCGAAGGUAGCAUAAUCAUUAGUCUUUUAAUUGAAGGCUUGUAUGAAAGGUUGAAUGAGGUGAAUACUGUUUUAUAUAAUAUAAUUGAAUUUAGGUUUUAAGUAAAAAUACUUAAAUUAAAUUAAGGGACGAGAAGACCCUAUAGAGUUUAAUAAAUGUAAUAAUAGACUGAGUUAUUAAGAAAUUUUUGGUUUUUAUUAAGUUUAUUUGAUUGGGGUGAUUAAAGGAUAUAUAAAACUCCUUUUUAAUUUUAAUAUAAAUAAAUAAAUAUAUGAUCCAUUAUUAUUGAUUAUAAGAUUAAAUUACCUUAGGGAUAACAGCAUAAUUUUCUUUAAGAGUUCUUAUCGAAAAGGAAGAUUGUGACCUCGAUGUUGGAUUAAGAUUUGUUUAAGGUGUAGAUGUUUAUAAACUAGGUCUGUUCGACCUUUAAAAUCUUACAUGAUCUGA
rnacentral:rRNA from 1 species